GUGCUCGCUUUGGCAGCACAUAUUACUAAAAUUGGAACAAUACAGAGAUGAGCAUGGCCCCAGUGCAAGGAUGACAUGCAAAUUCAUGAAGCGUUCCAUAUUUAA